rnacentral:misc_RNA from 1 species
GAAGAAAUUAGGGUUUUCGAAUCGCGAAUCUCAUGCCCAAUCCAAAUUCAAAUUACUCCCAAGGACAAGGAACAGUUGGGCUGUACCAGAUUAUCCCAAAAUUUGGCCAAAAAUCCCAAAAGUUGAAAGGGACGCGGACGAGUGUGAUCAACCUCCCGUCCUUGGAGCUCGACGUAGCGUCAUCCUGCAUCCUCAAGGACGAUCCUGCAGGCUUGGAGGUGCUGUUGGAAUCGUACAAGCGCAGAAAGGAGAAAGGGACAAAGGAUUGCAAUGCUUCGCCUGCGCGCGCGGGUGUCGCCCACGCGACGGAUUUUCG